rnacentral:lncRNA from 1 species
UUUUGCUUUCCUGAAACAGCAAAUACCCCUAUCUGGCUAUUCAGCAGCCAUCUUGUAACUACAAGAGAAAUUACAACGGAAACGAGAAAUGUUAUGAACCAGAUGCCGAAAAAGUCCCAGUGGCAAGAAUCAGAAGAGGGCACAAAGGUACUCAGAGAUCCCCGCUACAAGUAUAAGAGAAAAUAAAGGCAACAAGAAUGGCACAAAAAACACGUGUAAAACUGAUGAACGUGGCUUUUUCAAGAAGGAUUUGCACAUAAUCAUUAGGCUAUGCGACUAAUGCCAUAGCCUAGGCUGAAUGUGCUUGGGAGUUCCUGAGUUAUGAAAACAAUUAUUAUAUCUUAGAAGUUCUUCUUAGUGUGCUCCUGUGACUGAUUGGCAUAUAGAACACAGAGGUUUCUUUCCUGUUCAUGUAACGCUAUCUUUAUUUUUCUUGCAGUACAAUUAAGAUGUUGCCGUAAUAGACAUAAUGUCUUCCUCAAAUUAAUGAGAUGCUUCCUUUAUGCCCUUGAUUAGGCAAGAAUCUUUCUUUGGCAAAUCAUAUUUUUUUAUGCUGAUAAAAUAGAAAGCUUCUUUAUGAUGCCUUUUAAAAAUAAAUGAAAUUAUUUUUGAGCAUAUGACAAGUUUAUCAUAUUUACUCUUGAAGAGUAAAUAUUUGAAAGUCCCAUGAAAGAGAUGUUUGAAAGUCAGAUAAUAUCCACUGCACAUUAAAAUCUACAUAGAUGAGGCAGAAAAAACUCCACUUAACAAUUUUAAAACAUUUUCCUCCAGUUUGCACCACACAAAAACCUUUAAGAAACUCCUGGCACUUUACACAUGGGUUAUAGCUUAUAUUGCAGUAGGCUUGAGAUUAAACUCAGGGCAUAUAUGGGACAAAUGUAUUUUUCAGAAGGAACUCUAGUUAUGCUGAAUCCUCAUUAAUUUCCAACCAAUUUCUAGUGUUGACUACAUGAGGAAGAUUUCUAUCAGUGAGAGUCAGAGAAAGUCCCUCCAUUGGGAGAGCAUGCACAGGCAGCCUUGUAGAAAUAAAUGAACAGAGUACUUAAUGAAGAAAGACUUCAAUUUUAACUCCAGCUCGGGCCCUUUCUUUAUUUUUUCUGGC